rnacentral:rRNA from 1 species
GAGUUUGAUCUUGGCUCAGAACGAACGCUGGCGGCAGGCCUAACACAUGCAAGUCGAACGCCCAGCAAUGGAGUGGCGCACGGGUGCGUAACGCGUGGGAAUAUGCCCUUGACUACGGGACAACGUUUGAAACGAACGCUAAAUACCGUAUAAAUGACUCCGGUCCAAAGAUUUAUCGGUCGAAGGAUUUAGCCCCGCGUCAGAUUAGCUAGUUGGUGAGGUAACGGCUCACCAAGGCGACGAUCUGUAGCUGGUCUGAGAGGAUGAUCAGCCACACUGGAACUGAGACACGGUCCAGACUCCUACGGGAGGCAGCAGUGAGGAAUAUUGGACAAUGGGCGCAAGCCUGAUCCAGCCAUGCCGCGUGAGUGACGAAGGCCUUCGGGUUGUAAAGCUCUUUUAGUAUGUGAAGAUAAUGACGGUAGGCAUCAGAAAAAAGCCCCGGCUAAAUUCGUGCCAGCAGCAGCCGCCGUAAU